rnacentral:lncRNA from 1 species
UCCGAUCUGAAGAUGUUAGUUUCUGAUUGCUUACAAGUAGAAUAUCAUUUGUAACUAAGCUGGAAAAAAAUCAAAACCUUUGGGUAUGAUAUACAUCAUUCAUUGGCACUUUUGUAACUUCACCUUCUGACAUUUCAUGAUAUCAUCCACUGUGCAUCAUAAUAAUGUCAAGUACUGGUGGUGUUCCGGGACAUUGUAUGUCAGAACAUUUAUGCACUUAUAGGGAGACUGCACUUGUUGCUAUGGCAAUGAUAUUACACACAUGCAUGUUUUGUGACAACAGACUAACAGAAUUGACUUUUGCCACUCUUGUGGUAAUGUCGUGCUUGUAAGACCAUGACAUCAUCUCUAGUUGAUACUUUGCAAUGGCAAUAACAGUCAGAACAAUAAGUUAAAGGAUUUAAACAAACACAUUUUAAAUUACACUCCCAAGCUGUCCCAUCCCUGGAGUGAUUUUUACUCAGAGUACCUUAUGUCAUCGGCGGGGAAAAUUAUCCUGCAGUUUGAUGCCAAUAGGUCAGUGUGAAAACCUAAAUGGAAUAGAUGGAGCAAUUUUGAUUUUUGUAACCUACAUUAUCUGCAAGAUUAUGGGAAGUCACCCUACAAUGUUUUGUUCUGGUAGGUCAAAUUGGUGCUUGUCUUUUAACCGUAGAACUGCCGCAAAAAUUACAUCUACUGCGCAGCACUUAACGUUAAUUAUUUUAAUUA